GCACAAGCGGUUGGAGCAUGUUGGUUUUAAUUCGAAGCAACGCGAAGAACCUUUACCAGGCCUUGACAUGCAGAGAACUUUCCAGAGAUGGAUUUGGUGCCUUCGGGAACUCUGACACAGGUGCUGCAUGGCUGUCGUCAGCUCGUGCUGUGAAGUGUUGGGUUAAGUCCCGCAACGAGCGCAACCCCUACCUUUAGUUGCCAUCAGGUUAAGCGUGGGGACUCUAAAGGAACUGCCUACGCAAGUAGUGAGGAAGGCGGGGAUGACGUCAAAUCAGCACGGCCCUUACGUCCAGGGCUACACACGUGCUACAAUGGCCGAUACAGAGGGCAGCUACCUGGUGACAGGAUGCAAAUCUCCAAAGUCGGUCUCAGUUCGGAUCGGAGUCUGCAACCCGACUCCGUGAAGUUGGAUUCGCUAGUAAUCGCGCAUCAGCCAUGGCGCGGUGAAUACGUUCCCGGGCCUU
rnacentral:rRNA from 1 species